AUUGAACGCUGGCGGCAGGCCUAACACAUGCAAGUCGAGCGGAUGAAGGGAGCUUGCUCCUGGAUUCAGCGGCGGACGGGUGAGUAAUGCCUAGGAAUCUGCCUUGUAGUGGGGGAUAACGUCCGGAAACGGGCGCUAAUACCGCAUACGUCCUGAGGGAGAAAGUGGGGGAUCUUCGGACCUCACGCUAUCAGAUGAGCCUAGGUCGGAUUAGCUAGUUGGUGGGGUAAAGGCCUACCAAGGCGACGAUCCGUAACUGGUCUGAGAGGAUGAUCAGUCACACUGGAUCUGAGACACGGUACAGACUCCUACGGGAGGAAGCAGUGGGGAAUAUUGGACAAUGGGCGAAAGCCUGAUACAGCCAUGUCGCGUGUGUGCAGAAGGUCUUCGGAUUGUAAAGCAAUUUAAGUUGGGAGGAAGGGAAGUAAGUUAAUACCUGGCUGUUUUGACGUUACCAACAGAAUAAGCACCGGCUAACUUCGUG
rnacentral:rRNA from 1 species